CUUAUUAGAACAAUUUAAUUUGCUCUUAUUUCAUUUAUGUAUGUGUUUAGAUCACGAAGAGCCCUGUGGUCCCAAUCACAGGUCAUUUUGCCUGAAUGGAGGGAUUUGUUAAGUGAUACCUACUAUUCCCAGCCCAUUUAGUAGUCUUCUCUGCACAGGAGCAGCUCUCCUGCCACAGCCCCUCAUCUCCUGAAAAUGUACACCUCACAAAGUUUGUCUCCAUUCUCUUCUCGGUCAGGAGCACUUCUCAGCUGGUGAGCCAAUCACUGUCGUUAGUGGUGCUAAAACUGCAAGAGACACUGACAGAUGAGAACUUCAGCAUCUAGGCUGCCCUGUGUCCCCUGACCUCACUUAUACCUUGGAGCAGUUUCCAAACAAGCACCAUUUCAUGGGACAUUGACACAGCAGCCAAGUUCAUUGGGGUUGA
rnacentral:lncRNA from 12 species